GCCUGGGUGGCUCAGUGGUUGAGCAUCUGCCUUUGGCUCAGGUCGUGAUCCCAGGGUCCUGGGAUCGAGUCCCACAUCAGGCU
rnacentral:tRNA from 1 species